rnacentral:lncRNA from 1 species
UAAGACUAGUGAGAGGCACGUCAGAGGACUUUAACACCUGAGCAACUGGCAAACUACACUUGAGAACAAUUGAAGACUACUCUUGAGAAGUAUGUACAGAGGAGUACAGUAAGCAGCGAGAGGCUGAUUAUCGAAGUUUGAUGCAAGGAAAGAAAUCGGUUGUAGAGUAUAAUCGAGAAUUCUGUGAGCUAACACGUUCGCUCAUCAGAAGAUGGAUACUGAUGAAGAGAUGUCUGAGUUUUAAGUGC